rnacentral:rRNA from 1 species
CGCAGCCGCGGUAAUUCCAGCUCCAAUAGCGUAUAUUAAAGUUGUUGCAGUUAAAAAGCUCGUAGUUGAAUUUCGGGGUCAGUAGGUUGGUCAUGCCACUGGUAUGUACUGGCCUCACUGAUUCCUCCUUCCUGAUGAGCCGUAAUGCCAUUAAUUUGGUGUUGCGAGGAAUCUGGACUGUUACUUUGAAAAAUUAGAGUGUUUAAAGCAGGCUAACGCUUGAAUACAUUAGCAUGGAAUAAUGAAAUAGGACGUUCGAUCUUAUUUUGUUGGUUUCUAAGAUUGACGUAAUGAUUAAUAGGGAUAGUUGGGGGCAUUAGUAUUCAAUUGUCAGAGGUGAAAUUCUUGGAUUUAUUGAAGACUAACUACUGCGAAAGCAUUUGCCAAGGAUGUUUUCAUUAAUCAAGAACGAAAGUUAGGGGAUCGGAAGACGAUCGGAUACCGUCGUAGUCUUAACCAUAAACUAUGCCGACUAGGGAUCGGAUGAUGUUAAUUUUUUAAUGUACUUCAU